rnacentral:rRNA from 1 species
CCUACGGGCGGCUGCAGUGGGGAAUAUUGGACAAUGGGGGCAACCCUGAUCCAGCCAUGCCGCGUGUGUGAAGAAGGCCCUCGGGUUGUAAAGCACUUUCAGUGAGGAAGAACGCCUGGUGGUUAAUACCCAUCAGGAAAGACAUCACUCACAGAAGAAGCACCGGCUAACUCCGUGCCAGCAGCCGCGGUAAUACGGAGGGGGCGAGCGUUAAUCGGAAUUACUGGGCGUAAAGCGCGCGUAGGUGGCUUGAUAAGCCGGUUGUGAAAGCCCCGGGCUCAACCUGGGAACGGCAUCCGGAACUGUCAAGCUAGGGUGCAGGAGAGGAAGGUAGAAUUCCCGGUGUAGCGGUGAAAUGCGUAGAGAUCGGGAGGAAUACCAGUGGCGAAGGCGGCCUUCUGGACUGACACUGACACUGAGGUGCGAAAGCGUGGGUAGCAAACAGGAUUAGAUACCCUUGUAGUC